CGUCAACUUGUCUUGAGAGAGAGAAUCUCCUCUCUCUUAUUUAAACUUUUGACAUUUUAUAUCCGAGAAAACAUGAAAAAAUAUAGAAAAAAAAAAUAUUUCCCCCUUAAUUUUCUUGCAAUGCCACUGAUUCAGGUCCUGAUCAUAUUUUUUUAUUAUUAUUAGGGCUUUCUUUCUGUGUAAGUUACAAUCUGAAGCCAUCAUCCAUCGUCUCAAGCUGGGAGAUUUACUAUCCCAAUAGGCAACUCUAUGAAUCGACAGAUCAAAAUGGUGAAUGGAUGGGUUUUUGUUGCGCUUGCAAAAUGAACUGAGAGAAGCUGUUGUUAAAGAGGAACCCAUUCUGCAUAUCUAUCCAAGCAAAGAUGUGGACAUGUGAGUGGUUUAUUUGAUUGCUGUUUCUUUGUUUUGCUAUUAAUUUGUUUCGACGUGGACUGAAAAUGUCUAGGAUCUUGAAUUAUGAUGAAGAAGAUUUGAAAGAAGAAAUCCCCAGCACUCCAACAGACAAAUCUCUAAAACUCUACUUGGAGCCAUCUGAUUCAACAUCCAAAUUGUGUGUAAAUGGCUAUUCUUUUGGGAAACCGUCAGAACAUGUGACACCCUUUGGACGAUGUACUGAUAAGUUUGUGGUCAAAUUCAACAUUGAUAACCUUUCAGAUGUGGAGAACGAUGAUGAUGAGCAUGGCCAUGGGAAACUUGAGGAUGAAAUUAUUAAGAGGGCUUAACCCUUGCAAGAGGUGUUCUUGAUAGUCCAUGGAUUGGGACCAGAUCAUGAUUGAAGGUUCAUGUAUGAGAGGAUUGAAGAUAGGUUUAAUGCACUUGAAAAUGAGAUUAGAAAGCACGCAACUGCACUUUUCACUUCUGGGCUGAUGAGGAACCGAUGGACCCCACAAUUGAGCUUAUUACUUCGGGUCCUUUUACCUCAACAGACAGCUUAUUAUUUGAGCCUCUGACUGAGCUGCAAGCAUACGCAGGCAGAAAGUUACCUUAAUUACUUAUACUAGUAUGAUUUUUCUGUUCUUGAAUCUAAUAUCAUGCUUGGGUUCCUUGCUGUCUCUGGAAAUAUCACGCCAGACUUAUUGGCGCUGUUCUAGAUGGGGCUAUUACUUGAUUCUGAAAAUUCAGAGAUUAAGAAAGGGACUGUAGGCAGGAGCUUUGAUGAGUUGUUUUGUCUGGAAAUAAUGAGAAGGGUAACUAGUCAAAAAGUGGUGAAUUGUCUCCAGAAGCUCUUCACAUCACCUCAAUUCCAGAUUUUCUCAUCCUGCCUUCAGACAUGAAGUACUUUAUAAAGGUGAUUUUCCUGGUUGAAGGGGAAGAGCAAAGGAAGUCCAUUUGCAUAAACCCAGGAACACAGGCAAAGGGACAAGGAGGUGGCACUUUUGCUGAGCUCAAGUACCAUGGGAGUCCUGACAAGAUGAAUGCUUCAAUUACUAUAGGCAUACAAAUACUGGACCUAAACUCAGUGAGGGAUUGUCCCAAACUCGAAAUGGCACAAAGCUGGAGCACAAGAUCAGAAUUAAAGAUCCAACACACCGAAUGUUCAAUUAAAUGGAACAACAGUGGAUUCUGGAAACUCGUUUUGAUAGAAGAUUUCCGCAUGUUAUUAAAUUAAUUGCAUGGGUUGAGUGAUUCAUGACCACCGGGAUCAAUCUUGUUCUUUUCUAACAAUCGAACUCAGCAUAUUUGGUAUAAAUGCAUACUGUAUUAUAUUCAUUCA